rnacentral:rRNA from 1 species
AUUGAACGCUGGCGGCAGGCCUAACACAUGCAAGUCGGACGGUAGCACAGAGGAGCUUGCUCCUCGGGUGACGAGUGGCGGACGGGUGAGUAAUGUCUGGGGAUCUGCCCGAUAGAGGGGGAUAACCACUGGAAACGGUGGCUAAUACCGCAUAACGUCGCAAGACCAAAGAGGGGGACCUUCGGGCCUCUCACUAUCGGAUGAACCCAGAUGGGAUUAGCUAGUAGGCGGGGUAACGGCCCACCUAGGCGACGAUCCCUAGCUGGUCUGAGAGGAUGACCAGCCACACUGGAACUGAGACACGGUCCAGACUCCUACGGGAGGCAGCAGUGGGGAAUAUUGCACAAUGGGCGCAAGCCUGAUGCAGCCAUGCCGCGUGUAUGAAGAAGGCCUUCGGGUUGUAAAGUACUUUCAGCGGGGAGGAAGGCGAUGUGGUUAAUAACCGUAUUGAUUGACGUUACCCGCAGAAGAAGCACCGGCUAACUCCGUGCCAGCAGCCGCCGCAG